rnacentral:rRNA from 1 species
GACGAACGCUGGCGGCGUGCUUAACACAUGCAAGUCGAACGGAAAGGCCCUGCUUUUGUGUGUUGCUCGAGUGGCGAACGGGUGAGUAACACGUGAGUAACCUGCCCUUGACUUUGGGAUAACUUCAGGAAACGGGUGCUAAUACCGGAUAGGAGCUCGUCCUGCAUGGGGGGGGUUGGAAAGUUUCGGCGGUGGGGGGUGGACUCGCGGCUUAUCAGCUUGUUGUUGGGGUAGUGGCUUACCAAGGCUUUGACGGGUAGCCGGCCUGAGCGGGUGAGCGGACACAUUGGGACGGAGCUACGGCCCAGACUCCUAUGGGAGGCAGGAGUGGGGAAUAGUGCACAAUGGGAGGAAGCAUGCUGCAGCACCGCCGCGUGGGGGAUGACGGCCUUCGGGUUGUAAACCGCUUUCGCCUGUGACGAGGCGUGAGUGACGGUAAUGGGUAAAGAAGCACCGGCUAACUACGUG